rnacentral:rRNA from 1 species
GGGUUGUGAGGUUAAGCGACUAAGCGUACACGGUGGAUGCCCUGGCAGUCAGAGGCGAUGAAGGACGUGCUAAUCUGCGAUAAGCGCCGGUAAGGUGAUAUGAACCGUUAUAACCGACGAUUUCCGAAUGGGGAAACCCAGUGUGACUCGUCACACUAUCAUUAACUGAAUCCAUAGGUUAAUGAGGCGAACCGGGGGAACUGAAACAUCUAAGUACCCCGAGGAAAAGAAAUCAACCGAGAUUCCCCCAGUAGCGGCGAGCGAACGGGGAGGAGCCCAGAGCCUGAAUCAGCAUGUGUGUUAGUGGAAGCGUCUGGAAAGGCGCGCGAUACAGGGUGACAGCCCCGUACACAAAAGCGCAUGUGCUGUGAGCUCGAUGAGUAGGGCGGGACACGUGGUAUCCUGUCUGAAUAUGGGGGGACCAUCCUCCAAGGCUAAAUACUCCUGACUGACCGAUAGUGAACCAGUACCGUGAGGGAAAGGCGAAAAGAACCCCGGCGAGGGGAGUGAAAAAGAACCUGAAACCGUGUACGUACAAGCAGUGGGAGCACCUUCGGGUGUGACUGCGUACCUUUUGUAUAAUGGGUCAGCGACUUAUAUUCUGUAGCAAGGUUAACCGAAUAGGGGAGCCG